UAGAACGCCAAAACAAAGCAAAAGGAAGGUAACAGACAUCUGGCCGAAAAGAAUGGAAUCCGGCGGAAUUUUCGUCGGCAACUGAGCAAUCCGGGAAGUGGAACGUCGUGGACACAG